GCGCCGCUUCUGCCUUAUCUCUCAGUCAUCUCAGUCUCGUCGUCUACUGGAGUGCGUUGCGUGGUUGCGUUGGUUGCGCGCGUUGCGUGUCUUGAAGUUUCAUGUUCAUGCGCGUCUUCGGUGGUGUUGACGUCGGCUCCGUGCAAGAAGUGACGCUUGGAGCGCGGAAUAUUCAUGCAGCUGCCGACACGGACAACGGGCACCAGUUAACGAAUCCCGGAUCACUUCUCCCGCCUCUUCACUCCAGUUGACAGCCACACUCGGGGAAACGAAGGUGCCGCUCCGGUCUGGCGCCUCGCCGCUCGUGCUGGGAAAAUCAACAGCGAUGUUCGCCCUGUCAACGAGGCAGUCGGGCCUGCAUUUCUUUUGGUUGGACAAGACGACUUAGGAAAAGAGAUACCGUUUUUCAUGGUGCUCACGCUGAACAGGAGCGACAGCCUAGCAAGCCACAAGUCUGCUGCCUCCAGCCGUCACCACUUUUUGGUUUAUUUUUAAUCAUAGGGAAUAAAGGUUGAAACAUGAUGCC
rnacentral:lncRNA from 1 species